UACGUAGGUGGCGAGCGUUAUUCGGAUUCACUGGGCGUAAAGGGUCCGUAGGGGGUCUGCCAAGUCCGAUGUGAAAGCCCGCGGCUCAACUGCGGAACGGCAUUGGAUACUGGCGGGCUGGAGUCUGCGAGGGGUGAGCGGAAUUCCUGGUGUAGCGGUGGAAUGCGUAGAUAUCAGGAAGAACACCGAUGGCGAAGGCGGCUCACUGGCGCAGUACUGACCCUGAGGGACGAAAGCGUGGGGAGCAAACAGG
rnacentral:rRNA from 1 species